UUAAGGAUUUAGGCAUGCGGCUCCCGCCCCCCUCGGCCGAUCUGGGAUGGUCCCUGGCCCGGGGCUCGCCUGCCCCUCUGGGCGGGGAGGGGCCACCUCUCUCCCAUCCCUCAGUUAGAAGGAAAAUGCUCGGAAUGCAGGCUGGUGGAUUGGAGUGUGGUGACUUUAAUUAAAGCGGCAUGCUCCUUCCCCCCCAUCUCCCCCCUCCCCCGGCCUGGAAAGAAUCCUGGCUUGACAGCCCUAAGGGGUGCACUGGAGGUGGGGGACCCUUGGCUCCAUGUGGGCACUCAAGAGGUGAAAAGUAAAAUCAAGAGUUGGAGCCCUUUUCCUGCAAAAGUAAUUAAGGGAGUGAAACUGGCAGGACUGCAUGACUGUCUUUUAAGUGCCAUCCCUCCCCUCUGGGAUGCCGGUUUGAUCUGGCCGCCUCUAAAAGUUACCUUCCCUCCUCGUGCUCCACCCCAGCAACUACUUUGAGGAAUAGGUGGCCCCUUGGUGCCUCACGAAAGAAAGACUGGAUGAAUCAUCCAGCCUCAGCUUCUUGGGACUGCAUGGAGUGGAAGUGGAAACGCUGGGUCCGCCGAGCUUGGGGUCAGGGAAGAGCCCCUCCGCUCACACGGUUAGGGAAACGCGCUAAUUAGGUCAACGCUCUCGCCACAGCGCGAGCUGCUGCCCCUCCCCCACUGGCAGCAAAAGGCUUCCGGAUACCAUGUACUCCCUGUAAUAAACGUGAUCUCUGCUUCCCAGGAAGGGCAAUGGACACAUGGCUAAAGAGUCUCCCUGCUGGAGAGGAGGGAAUAAGCAUCUAUUAGGCGCCUGCGGUGUGUCAGGCUGGGGCAGCCGGGAGGCAGCCACGGAAUCCGAAAGACCCGACUUCAAAGAUGACCCCUGACCCUGGACAAGUCACUUAACAUCUGCCUGCAGAAAACCAGAGAAUAGCGAAUCACUCCAGUAUCUAUGCUAAGAAAAUCCUAUGGACAGCCGGCCUGGGGGGUGUGGGGUAUUGGGUGGGUGUCAUAAAGAGUUGAGGACCACUGAACAACAAAUGCCCACCCUCCCCCAUCCUGUUGACAAAUAUGAUCACAUUUGAGCCUUUCCACAACCCUGGGAAGUAGGAACCGUUAUUAUGCUCAUUUUACAAAUAAGGAAACUGAGGCAGAUGUCACAUGGUUAGGGAGAGUGGUUUUAAAAUCUGAUCUUGACUCUGGAACUAGCACUCUACUGCACCAUCUAAUUCAAUAAGGAUCAGCAGCUGACCAUUACCCUGGGGUAGAGUGAGAAAUUAGUGUUAUUAAUAGUUAUUAAUAUCUAAAAGUUGGUCGAGGCCUCCCCCCCUCCCACAAAAGCUUUAUAGCUUUAAGUGAGUCUGUCUGGGAAUUGUCCUAGGCAGGAGUCCCAGGCUGAAAAUCUUAAAUGCCCAUCUUGAGUAUCCUUUUCUCCCAGUAGACUCUUCUAUUGUAUCUUUGUAUUUGGAUUAUGGAGGUAAACACUAUUGGAUGUAUCCAUUGUGAAGCUUUUCUCCAAUUUCUUGAAGAUGUUAAUUAGGUAGAGUGUGUUCAUUGUAAAGCCAUUGUAAAACUAGUCUAACUGUAACUAUUGUAAAAUGUUAUAAUCCCUUCUGGGAGACUUGAUUACAUCGAGAUUCUCCCAGAAAAAGGAGAUUUUUCUGUGAAUUUUUGGGCACUUGUCUUGGGUCAAUAACUUGAAGCAGGGACCCCCAUCUCUCAUUUGUAAUAAAAUUAUAUUUUAAAUGA